rnacentral:rRNA from 1 species
GGACGAUAACUGACGUUGAGGCUCGAAGGCGUGGGGAGCAAACAGGAUUAGAUACCCUGGUAGUCCACGCGGUAAACGAUGAAUACUAGGUGUUGGCAUCCAAAGGAUGUCGGUGCCGGCGCAAACGCAUUAAGUAUUCCACCUGGGGAGUACGUUCGCAAGAACGAAACUCAAAGGAAUUGACGGGGACCCGCACAAGCAGUGGAGCAUGUGGUUUAAUUCGAAGCAACGCGAAGAACCUUACCAGGUCUUGACAUGGAGAUGACCGGCUGGUAACGCAGCCUUUCCUUCGGGACAUCUCACACAGGUGGUGCAUGGUUGUCGUCAGCUCGUGUCGUGAGAUGUUGGGUUAAGUCCCGCAACGAGCGCAACCCUUAUUGCCAGUAGCCAGCAGGUAAAGCUGGGCACUCUGGCGAGACUGCCCGGGAUAACCGGGAGGAAGGUGGGGAUGACGUCAAAUCAUCAUGCCCCUUAUGAUCUGGGCAACACACGUGCUACAAUGGCGUAAACAGAGAGAAGCGAACCUGCGAGGGGGAGCAAAUCUUCAAAUAACGUCUCAGUUCGGACUGUAGUCUGCAACCCGACUACACGAAGCUGGAAU